UGGACAGGGCUGCCUCCUGAACAUCCUCUCUCUGAGCAUUUGGAAAAAGAAUGGAAAAAGGAAGAGAUGAGGACAAUGUUCAAGAACGAGAGGAAGAGAGGCUAG